rnacentral:lncRNA from 1 species
GCCGCCGGGCCCGGCCGGUCCCCGAGGGCGGGGCCGCGGCCCCACGCCCCACCCACUGCGAGCAGAGGCGGGGCAUGGGUCACGUGACGGCACGCCGAACAGCGAGGCCCCGCCCGGCGGGAGGAGGCCCGGCCGCGACCCGGGCCGCGAGCUGAGGAGCCGCCCGGUCUCCCGCGCGCUCGCUCCGGCGGCGUCCCCAGCCCUCGGCCCCUCUGUUGCCGGCCUCCGGCUCGCCGGCUGCGAGAGUGGCCUCAAGAUGGAUGAAGACGGCGGCGGCGAGGGUGGUGGCGCAGAGAUCCUGUGCUCUGAAGUAAUUUCUGAUCCAGCGAAGUAUUACAGGAGCGAGGACUGUGCACCUUCAGUCUAUUUGGUAAUAAAGCACUUAUUCUCUUUUUAUAAAUCACUAUAAUCCACAUGCCGUUAUAGUCAUCCUUUUAAAUUACACAAUUGAAUGGGCUUUUAGUGUAUUCAUAAAGUUGUGCAGUCAUCACCACAAUCUAAUUUUAGAACAUUUUUAUCACCUCAAAAAGAACCUGGUCCCCAUUAGCCAUCAUUCCCUCCUCUCCAACCCCUGGCAGUCA